rnacentral:lncRNA from 1 species
GUGAGCGAGCCCAGAGUCGCGUACCUCCGGGCUCUGGCCGCUUCUUUCCUCUCAAGCCGACCUUCGCGCUUGCUUCCUGCCGCCCCGUCCCGACCCGGGGCUGGCGACAAUCCCGCGGUGGCUGGUGACGUUCGCUCCGGCUUGGCCGAGCACAGGAAGCCCGCGCCUACGGUCGUGCGACCCUUUUAUAACCCACUUGUGACUCAUAACCGACCGGGCGGCUUUUCUGUCACCCCCCCCCCUUCCCCUCCUCCUGCCUCUUCUUGGAACCCACAGCUUGAAAAACUUUUUUUUUCUUUUUAAAGGAAAAGUCGAAAAAGUCCAGCGCCCCGAGGAGGGGUGUUUUCCCCUUUCCCUUUCUCGUGGGUCACUCGGUGUGUGUUUUCUCUUACACCCGCCAUGUACUUUCCUGACCCGCGCAGCAAGGCUGGGGCGCCAACCUUUGUUCGCAAUGAAAAGGAAACGCAUUCAAAUUACGGCCAGACGUUGCCGAGCUUUCAGUCGGCUGGAGGGGAAGUGCUGCUUCUUACAACUGGCUGGCUGGGGAGUCUACACCCUGCUUGUAGUUGAGAAAGAAAAGUGAAGCAAGUGGAAAGUUCUCCCUUCCUGCUCCUACUGAUUCAGCCAGAGAUUCCACAUGUAAGAGAAAACGUGAGACCCGUCUUUCCGAAUCUGGCUUAACAUAAUGAUCUUCACUUCCAUCCAUUUUACUGCAGAUGACAUGAUUUCAUUUUCCUUUAUGGCUGAAUAAUACUCUAUUGUAGGUCAUCUGAGAAUAUAAUGACAUGAUGGUUUCCUCUAUGUCACAAAGAUAAUCCUCCCCAGAAACUAAAUUCUACUGGGUCUUGACAUUGGAUUCUGCCAUCCAAAACUAUGAAGAAAUAAAUGUGUUGUUUCAGCCACC